AAGUAGUCAAAAACCAGGUUGUGACAUAAGUAGCUGAAAGUACAAAAAAGCUUAGUUAAGUAAAAUGGCAAAUAUUAUAAUUAAAUAAAGCCUAAAUGAGUCAAAUGUACCAAGUGAAUACAUUUACUAAAAGAAAAGUAUUAUAUUAUUUAUCUAAUACUUAUUUCUUAUUUAACAUCAGCAAACACCAGCUUUUGCUACCUCUGAAUACACUGACUAUGGUGUGUUGAGUCAUGAUCACAGGUUUUUAAAGAAGAGUCUCUCCACUGUGUCUGUAAAAGGAAGGAUCAUCAAAGUGUGUCUGGUCGUUUCCUGAACUGUUCAAAUACCGUUUAUUAUUGACUGUUCUUAACAGUCCAUGAGAAAAGGUUAGCUAAGGUCAUGUUUUCAUGUUACCAACAGAAACAGAAAUGUUGUGGCUGAACCUCAGCUGUUUGUUCUGUUAUCGACCUGUCACCAAACUAAACCCUUUUCGAGGUCAACACUGGGUGGAACAGUAAAUCAGAGUUUUCAAAUGGUGGUAGAAUGGAGGCGUUGCUGGUGGUGGUCACCAGCAGGUGGCAGCAGUCAACAGAGACGGUUUGACCUUAUGUCCCGAGUUGAGAACAUCUCUGAUCUCUGUCUCCAGAUAAACACCGGGAACUUUGAAGAUGGAGACCACUGUGCAUGAUGGGAGUUGGGAGUGUGUUAAAGUACGGGUGCUGCAGAGCUUCCUGGGCCGAGAUCCGCUCUGAGGGAACCAACAUCAGCAGUCUCUGGACCAGGCCCUCGGUCUUGAUUGGGAGCUGAUUCAAUCUAUUCCAGAUAAACUACACAUUUAGAAAGCUAUUUUUGCAGUAUCUUAAGCAGAGCUACUAUUAGCAUGUGCUAAAAUGGCUAGCGUGAUAUGUAUUUAUCAUUGUUCUCUUAUGUCCAGGAGUUUGUUUUUAACUGUGAAUACAGAGAAAUAGAUGAAAGUUAGACAAACAACAUGGGAGUUUAAAAUAAUAAUAAUAAUAAUAAUACAUGUAUUGGGAAACAUGAUAUAUUUUUUAAACAACCCAUUAAUGAUGGACUUCUAAACCGGUAGGGGUUAUUAACAUUAAGUUAUUUAGUUAAAAGAUAAUGAACUUAACUUUUAUUACAUAUCCAAAUGCUGAAAGUUUGAGGCAAAGUGGCUAAAAAUUGGCAAAAAUAUGGCAAAUGUAGAGCCUAGCUUUACAAACGGUGGAGUAAAAUUAGUAAAUAUUACAUUUAGAUGAAGACAUACCAGGAAUUUUUUUUUAAAAUAUUUCAACAGUUUGCAGACAUAGCUAAAUAUUUUUAACAAAGUGACCUAAAAAUAACCUUUAUAGCUAACAUUAAGCUAACUACCUGUUGACUUACCUUUUCCAAACAGUUCUGAACUGUUUUGGCUCAGAGUGAUAGAACUUUUCUACAAAGGAAAACAAAAGAUUAAUUAAUAAUAAAAAUAAAGAAAUCAUUCUUGUUUUUGUUUUUU